GUAAUCGGAAUGAGUACACUCUAAAUCCUUUAACGAGGAUCAAUUGGAGGGCAAGUCUGGUGCCAGCAGCCGCGGUAAUUCCAGCUCCAAUAGCGUAUAUUAAAGUUGUUGCGGUUAAAAAGCUCGUAGUCGAAUUUGUGUCCCGCGCCGCCGGUUCAUCGCUCGCGGUGUUAACUGGCGAGUUCGCGGGACGUCCUGCCGGUGGGCCUAGCUCUUUCGGGGGCGGCCCAAUCUCAAUCCCACCGCGGUGCUCUUCAUUGAGUGUCGAGGCGGGCCGGCACGUUUACUUUGAACAAAUUAGAGUGCUUAAAGCAGGCUAAAAUAUCGCCUGAAUACUGGUGCAUGGAAUAAUGGAAUAGGACCUCGGUUCUAUUUUGUUGGUUUUCGGAACCCCGAGGUAAUGAUUAAUAGGAACGGAUGGGGGCAUUCGUAUUGCGACGUUAGAGGUGAAAUUCUUGGAUCGUCGCAAGACGAACAGAAGCGAAAGCAUUUGCCAAAAACGUUUUCAUUGAUCAAGAACGAAAGUUAGAGGUUCGAAGGCGAUCAGAUACCGCCCUAGUUCUAACCAUAAACGAUGCCAGCUAGCGAUCCGCCGACGUUCCUCCGAUGACUCGGCGGGCAGCUUCCGGGAAACCAAAGCUUUUGGGUUCCGGGGGAAGUAUGGUUGCAAAGCUGAAACUUAAAGGAAUUGACGGAAGGGCACCACCAGGAGUGGAGCCUGCGGCUUAAUUUGACUCAACACGGGAAACCUCACCAGGCCCGGACACCGGAAGGAUUGACAGAUUGAGAGCUCUUU
rnacentral:rRNA from 1 species